rnacentral:rRNA from 1 species
CCUACGGGAGGCAGCAGUGGGGAAUAUUGCACAAUGGGGGAAACCCUGAUGCAGCGACGCCGCGUGAGUGAAGAAGUAUCUCGGUACGUAAAGCUCUAUCAGCAGGGAAGAAAAUGACGGUACCUGACUCAGAAGCCCCGGCUAACUACGUGCCAGCAGCCGCGGGAAUACGUAGGGGGCAAGCGUUAUCCGGAUUUACUGGGUGUAAAGGGAGCGUAGACGGCAGCACAAGUCUGGAGUGAAAUCCCGGGGCUUAACCCCGGAACUGCUUUGGAAACUGUGCGGCUGGAGUGCAGGAGGGGUAAGCGGAAUGCCUAGUGUAGCGGUGAAAUGCGUAGAUAUUAGGAGGAACACCGGUGGCGAAGGCGGCUUACUGGACUGUAACUGACGUUGAGGCUCGAAAGCGUGGGGAGCAAACAGGAUUAGAUACCCCGGUAGUC